rnacentral:rRNA from 1 species
AAACCUACGGGAGGCAGCAGUGGGGGAUAUCGCACAAUGGGGGAAACCCUGAUGCAGCGACGCCGCGUGAGUGAAGAAGUAUUUCGGUAUGUAAAGCUCUAUCAGCAGGGAAGAUAAUGACGGUACCUGACUAAGAAGCCCCGGCUAACUACGUGCCAGCAGCCGCGGUAAUACGUAGGGGGCAAGCGUUAUCCGGAUUUACUGGGUGUAAAGGGAGCGUAGGUGGCAGGGCAAGUCAGAUGUGAAAACCCGGGGCUCAACCCCGGGAGUGCAUUUGAAACUGUCCGGCUGGAGUGCAGGAGAGG